UCCAAAGCGCUAUUGUGUCAGACUCAUCUCCCGCUGAAGAGGAUCCAGCGACAUCAAGAGAUUACGGAAAAUCACGCGAGAUAACUGGCUUGCACCUUGUUGGGUUUUUUCAAGGGCAGAGGGAGAUUCCUGGCGUGCAUCUACUUAAUUUGAAGAAGAACAUCACCUGAUCACCUGUCUGGAAUCCACCUGCUUAAGUUCUGGUCAAGGGGAUCAUUGGCUAUCAAGUUAUAGAUUUCAGUGGCUAAUAGAAGACACAGCUGAGGUCAGACGAGAGUGCAUCCUCAAAGGUCUGUGUGUGUACCUAAAUGAAGAUCCAGAGAAGCUGGUGAGGGAGUACAUGGACGUUGAUGAAUGUGCAGAAAUGGCCAAAGCCGAGACUGUCCUCGGAAUCGUUGUCAUUUGAGCAGAGGGUGCAGAGGCUGCCGAUCCUCAUCUGGAUGUUGGGAUUGUCCUGGAGGAGGUGGAAGUUAUGAACAGCUUGGGCAGUGUAUCUUCUGCAAAAGUGAUGCUGCUGGGACUAAUCUACGCACUAAACUUGAGCUACCCUCAAGUUUAGUGCGUUCAGCACUCAACUUGCUCAGUAACUCAAGCAUACCUUUGAAGUAAUACAGAAAAUAAUAAUGAAAUUGGAUGGAAAGAACUUAUCAAAGAAAGCACACGUUCUCAAUAUGAAACUCGCCGCUCAGUUGAGUAAAGUUUCAUAUGGAAAAUGAGUGUUUAAAGUCUGCAGUAGAAAAUAUUUAUAUUGUUACAGUUCUCUAAGUUGAGCAACUAUACUGACAUGUUUUAUGUUGUAAAGAAUUAGAUGGAAAAUGAAACUGUAACCUUUUUGUAGUUGUUUUUUUAUUUCAAUGUCCAACUCAGCUGUGUUUUGUGCUGUAUAAAAAAACGAUGUAUAAUAAUUCUGAAAAUACAAUUGUGUUGUACCUUU